rnacentral:lncRNA from 1 species
ACUCCCUUUAAUCUUGCAUUUGGGACUAAGAUAGUCAUUCCUGUGGAGUUUGGACUCCCAUCUCUUAGAGUGGAAGAAUAUAAUAAAGAUAUCAACUCAGUGUGGCUCCAGACUAACCUUAACUUGAUCGAAGAAAGCAGGAAGUGUGCUGCUAUGAGGAUGGCCGCCUAUCGCCAAAGAAUGGCCAAGUAUUAUAAUGCCUGAGUCAAGAUCAAGGAGUUCCAAGCUAGCAACUUGAUAUUAUGGUGAGCUGAGAUAUCACAACCCACU